rnacentral:rRNA from 1 species
AGCGAACGCUGGCGGCAGGCUUAACACAUGCAAGUCGAGCGGGCCCUUCGGGGUCAGCGGCAGACGGGUGAGUAACACGUGGGAACGUACCCUUUGGUUCGGAAUAACGCUGGGAAACUAGCGCUAAUACCGGAUACGCCCUUUUGGGGAAAGGCUUGCUGCCGAAGGAUCGGCCCGCGUCUGAUUAGCUAGUUGGUGGGGUAAUGGCCUACCAAGGCGACGAUCAGUAGCUGGUCUGAGAGGAUGAUCAGCCACACUGGGACUGAGACACGGCCCAGACUCCUACGGGAGGCAGCAGUGGGGAAUAUUGGACAAGGGGCGCAGGCCUGAUCCAGCCAUGCCGCGUGAGUGAUGAAGGCCUUAGGGCUGUAAAGCUCUUUUGUCCGGGACGAUAAUGACGGUACCGGAAGAAUAAGCCCCGGCUAACUUCGUG